CUUACAUGAUCUUUGAUCAGGUUAUGGAAGCAUAGACGUAAAACAUUGACGAGGUUGUUUUUUGAAAGCCAUGGGGACUGAAAAUCCUGGUCGUCCAAAUUUUCCUGUGGCAGCUUCCACCACACCAUUUGCUGCUCCUCCUCCAACUAUGACACCAUUUUCAUCUUCUGGUCCUAUGGUUGGAUUAGAGGCCCCUGGCUUUAGAGCUAGUCCACCAGCGGUUCCUCAAACUACAAUACCUUCUACAUUAUCUGGGCCUGCAGGUGGCUCACAGACCCCUGGCUUUAGACCUGCUCCUCCAGCAUCAUAUGUGCCCUCUGCUGUUGGACCCUUCCAGCGUUUCCCAAUGCCACAAUAUCCUACUACACCUCAAACUCAAACUCCAUCAGCUGGAGCUCCUCCUAUUGGGCAACCAUCAUUUCAACCUCCUGGUCAGGUAUCAUCCCCACUUUUAUAUCGUCCACAGCCACCGCAGAUGCCUUCUGUACCAAUGGGAUCUCCUCCUCCUUCAAAUGUGAAUGUUCCUCAAUCUUCAUCGGAUUCAUCAUUUUUUACUGCCAGGCCCAAUUUUCAGCCAUCUUUUCCUCCAGCAGAUUCGUCUUAUCCUCCUUCUAGAGCCACGUUGCAGCCACCUUUACCUGGAUAUAUAAAGCAAUCGGCUGCAGUUUCACAAGCCCCUCCUAUGCAGUCCCCUUUUCAAGUUCAACAAGGAAGUUACGUACCUCCUGCUCCAACGCAAUCUUCCCCUUUUCCUUCUCACCAAGGAGGUUUUGGUCAACCUCCGCCAGUAGCUGCCUCUUUUGGCUUGCAUUCAAGGGAGCAAAUCCAACAGCCAGGCUCCCUACCUCCUAUAGGUGGCAUCCAAGGCUUAUUGGAAGAUUUCAGCUCACUUUCGAUUGGGUCUAUGCCAGGAUCAAUAGAUCCAGGACUUGAUCCAAAAGCAUUGCCAAGGCCAUUGGAUGGUGAUGUGGAGCCAACUCCAUUACCUGAAGCAUACUCUAUGAAUUGUGAUCCUAGAUAUCUACGGCUUACAAC
rnacentral:misc_RNA from 1 species